rnacentral:rRNA from 1 species
GACGAACGCUGGCGGCGUGCCUAAUACAUGCAAGUUGAGCGCUGAAGGUUGGUACUUGUACCAACUGGAUGAGCAGCGAACGGGUGAGUAACGCGUGGGGAAUCUGCCUUUGAGCGGGGGACAACAUUUGGAAACGAAUGCUAAUACCGCAUAAAAACUUUAAACACAAGUUUUAAGUUUGAAAGAUGCAAUUGCAUCACUCAAAGAUGAUCCCGCGUUGUAUUAGCUAGUUGGUGAGGUAAAGGCUCACCAAGGCGAUGAUACAUAGCCGACCUGAGAGGGGGAUCGGCCACAUUGGGACUGGGACACGGCCCAAACUCCUACGGGAGGCAGCAGUAGGGAAUCUUCGGCAAUGGGCGAAAGUCUGACCGAGCAACGCCGCGGGAGUGAAGAAGGGUUUCGGAUCGUAAAACUCUGUUGGUAGAGAAGAACGUUGGUGAGAGUGGAAAGCUCAUCAAGUGACGGUAACUACACAGAAAGGGACGGCUAACUACGUG